GAGCUUGCUUCGGCAGCACAUAUACUAAAAUUGGAAUGAUACAGAGAAGAUUAGCAUGGCCCCUGGGCAAGGAUGACACGCAAAUUCGUGAAGCAUUCCACAUUAAA
rnacentral:snRNA from 1 species